AAUCAACGCUGGCGGCGUGCCUCAGACAUGCAAGUCGAACGAUUAAAGCUCCCUUCGGGGAGUGCAUAAAGUGGCGCACGGGUGAGUAACACGUAAGUAAUCUACCUUCGAGUGGGGAAUAACAUCGGGAAACCGAUGCUAAUACCGCAUAAUGCAGCGGCACCUAAUGGUGACAGUUGUUAAAGGAGCAAUCCGCUUGAAGAGGAGCUUGCGGCAGAUUAGCUAGUUGGUAAGGUAAUGGCUUACCAAGGCUUCGAUCUGUAACCGGUCUAAGAGGACGGUCGGUCACACUGACACUGAAUAACGGGUCAGACUCCUACGGGAGGCAGCAGUCGGGAAUUUGGGCAAUGGGCGAAAGCCUGACCCAGCAACGCCGCGUGAAGGAUGAAGUAUUUCGGUAUGUAAGCUUCGAAAGAAUGGGAAGAAUCAAUGACGGUACCAUUUAUAAGGUCCGGCUAACUACGUGCCAGCAGCCGCGGUAAUACGUAGGGACCAAGCGUUGUCGGGUUUACG
rnacentral:rRNA from 1 species